AGACACCCCUCGCUGCAGACUGUAGCGCGGUGACAUCACGUACUGACGUCAGGUAUGUUCUACGUAUCGUAUGUCUUUAAUGCGCAUGUACAAAAUAUUUCACUUUAAUCAGUAGGUGGCGGUAAUGCGCCUAAAAGUUUAAUGCCAACCUUAAUAAUACAGCGAAGAAGUUGUUUUUCUCGUCUGCAAUUCUGGAUUAGCGUUUUCUCGAAAGGGAUAACUUCGAUUGCGAUGCAUGUUUAGGGAUACUGGAAGGCGUAACUUACAGAAAACAGUCACCAAGUACAGUCCAGCUAAGCCAGUUAGUUAUUUUUUGCAUAACUGUUUGUUUUAAUUUAUUAUUUUUAGGACUUAAAAGAGAGACACAUAAUAUGUAAGUGUUUAAUUUUCUAACUAAUACAUGCCUUAAAGGAAACCGGACCAGAGAAUGAAUUGAUGCCAUCUGUUUGAACCACAGUGCUCAGGAUAGUCUGACUAUCCAGGGCCCAGGUCAGGAAACAGACAGAUCGGCUUACCCAUCAGUCUGUUAGCUGCCUUGACAUGUCAAGAUCACAUAUAUCCCAGCACAUAGAGCCUUUUUACCAGAGUACCAACACAUCUCGACUGUGUCUGUUCCUCGAUCAAAUAAAUACAGAGCACCGUCUACCUCGUCUCGUACAAAUCUUAUUAACAUAAAAUUAGAACACAAUACACUAAAAGAUGAAACUCAAAUGUUAAAAUUCGGCCUUCUUAACAUUAGAUCGCUUACCAAUAAAGAACCUAUUAUCAAUGAAAUAAUUACUGACCAAAACUUAGAUGCACUCUGUUUAACAGAGACCUGGCUUAAAGCAGACGAUUACAUCAGUUUAAACGAAUCCACCCCACAAGACUAUUAUUAUAAACACGUCCCUCGCCUAAAAGGGAGAGGGGGUGGUGUAGCUACAAUAUACAACAAAAUGUUCAAAGUAAACCAUAAAUCAGAACUAAAAUUUAAUUCGUUUGAAAUAAUACUGUUAAACAUGGAAAUAACUGAUCGUAACAACAAACAGCUUUCGUUCAUUUUAGCUACCAUAUAUAGGCCUCCGGGCCACCACACAGAUUUUCUUAAAGAAAUAGCAGACUUCCUAUCUGAGCUUACAGUCACUGUAGACAAAGCUCUUAUCGUUGGUGAUUUUAACAUCCAUGUGGAUAACUCAAAAGAUGCAUUAGGACGUGCGUUUAUGGAUGUUCUAAAUUCUCUCGGUAUUAAACAAAACGUGUCUGGACCCACGCAUACUCGUAAGCACACAUUAGACUUAAUUCUGUCACUCGGACUCAAUAUUAAUGACAUCGAAAUAUCACCCCAGAGCGAUGCCGUUUCAGACCAUUGCCUUGUGUCAUACACAAUACUUCUAGAUAGGACCGCUCAGUCUACAACAUGCUACAGAUUAGCCAGAACAAUAAUUUCCACCACUAAAGAUAGCUUUAUUAGCACUCUUCCAGACCUGUCUCAAAUGAAACAUGUAGCAGAUAACCGUGAAGAUCUGGAUAUUAUAAUAGAAAACCUGAACAACGUUUGCUCUAGCACGAUGGAUGCCGUUGCUCCCAUACGAAAAAAGAGAAUCAAAGGAAAAACGCCAGCUCCAUGGUACGACCAUCAUACUGCAGCCCUUAAAAAAGUAGCUAGAAAAAUGGAAAGAAACUACCGAAACACAAAGUUAGAAGUAUGGCGUUCAGCAUGGAAAGAGAGUGUUCAACACUACAGACAGGCUAUUAAAACCGCCAGAUCUACCUAUCUCAGUACGCUUAUUAAAGAAAAUCAUAACAACCCUCGUUUCCUCUUUAGCACAGUUGCGAAACUGACUAGAAACAAAGAACAAACAGAAACCAAUAGUAAAUUCCAACACAAUAGUAACGACUUCAUGAACUUCUUUACUAACAAAAUUAUUUCUAUUAGGGAAAACAUAGAAACUACGCAAGCAGCCACCACUCAACCCAAUAGUACAUUUACCACUAGAUUAUCAUACGAACAUCUUGAGUCAUUUAAACCUACUACAAUAGAAGAGCUCUCUAAAUUAGUAACGUCAUCUAAAUCAUCGUCCUGUAUAUUAGACCCCAUUCCCACAAAAUUACUAAAAGAGGUAUUUCAUGUAGUGUCCGACUCGGUACUAAAUAUCUUUAACUCAUCGCUAGAAUUAGGAUACGUUCCAACAGCUUUCAAACUAGCAGUUAUUAGACCGCUCAUUAAAAAACCAAACCUUGACCAGGGAGAUCUUAAUAACUUUAGACCAAUCUCAAAUCUACCUUUUCUUUCUAAAAUAUUAGAAAAAAUAGUGGCAAGCCAGCUACGCACAUUCAUAGCGAAUAAUAAUACAUAUGAAAAGUUCCAAUCAGGAUUCAGGCCCCACCAUAGCACAGAGACAGCGCUGCUUAGAGUUACAAAUGACCUCCUAUUAACAUCCGAUCGUGGUAAAAUCUCAAUCCUUAUAUUACUAGACCUUAGUGCAGCCUUCGACACAAUAGAUCACAGAAUCCUAUUCAAUAGACUAGAAAACUAUGUUGGCAUCAGUGGUCAGGCGUUAGCCUGGUUUAGAUCGUAUCUAACCAAUCGAUAUCACUUUGUUUAUGUAAAUGAGGAAGAGUCACAUCACUCCCCCGUUAAAUACGGCGUACCUCAGGGAUCAGUUCUAGGCCCUAUCCUAUUCUCGUUAUAUAUGUUACCUCUAGGAGACAUUAUCAGGAAACAUAACAUAAGUUUUCACUGCUAUGCGGAUGAUACCCAGCUUUACAUCUCGUCACAUCCUAGCGAAACCCACCAGUUUGCUAAGCUAACAGACUGCAUUAGUGAUAUUAGGGACUGGAUGGCACAUAACUUUCUUAUGCUAAACUCCAAUAAGACAGAGAUACUUAUUAUUGAACCAAAUCGCUCCAAACAUAAUAUGUCAGAUUACAAGUUGCCCAUAGAUGGCUGCACGGUGGUGCCAUCUUCCACGGUUAAGAAUUUAGGCGUAAUGUUUGACAGCAAUCUAUCUUUCGAUAGUCAUAUCUCCAACGUCUGCCGCACAGCAUUUUUCCAUCUUAGAAAUAUCUCAAAAAUACGCCAUAUGCUGUCUGCAUCAGAUGCAGAAAAGCUUAUCCAUGCUUUUAUGACCUCUAGAUUAGACUACUGUAACUCGUUACUCGGGGGAUGCCAUGCAAAUCAGGUAAACAAGCUACAGCUGGUUCAAAACGCCGCCGCAAGAGUGCUUACUCGAUCUAAAAAGUAUGACCACAUUAGUCCAAUUCUGGCAUCUUUACACUGGCUACCAGUUAAAUAUCGCAUACAAUUUAAAGUAUUACUAAUCACCUACAAAGCCUUAAAUGGCCUAGCGCCCUCGUAUAUAAAAGAACUACUAUCAGAAUACAAUCCACCACGUAAACUGCGAUCACAAAAUUCGGGUUACUUAAUUAUCCCUAGAAUAUCAAAAGUGUCUAAAGGUGGUAGAUCCUUUUCCUACUUAGCCCCUAAGCUCUGGAAUGAUUUACCAAAUAAUGUUCGAGUAUCAGACACAGUCGAUCAAUUUAAAUCUAAACUUAAGACAUUCUUCUUUAACAAAGCAUUCACAUAGAAUGUCCAGUAAAUGUACUUUUCCCGCAGUAGUUAUUUUGUCUAGAACACAGCACUCACAUACCUCAUACGGGUAAUUUACUCUUGCCGCAAUAGUUAGCCUGUCUGGAACCGAGCUGAAUUAAACCACUAUAAUGUAUGACACUUGCAUUACAUGCGAACGGCCCCUACGCUAAUAGAAUUCUGUUUUUGUCUCCCUGUCUCGUCCUCGACUCUGAGGACAAUGAGACAAACAGACUCAGUUCCUGUUGCUGUGAAGGUCAUCGCACCACUAAUCAACUGGCUGUCCUUCAACGUGACGCCCAACCGAUGCGCGACCAACGGCUGAACCAGUUUAAUCCGCUUACACGCUUCCUAUCCCUACCGUGUCUAUAUAUUAUAAAUAUAAAUAUUAAUCUCUCCCUAGGGUUUUUUGUCCUUCUAGGAUUUUUUCCCAUUGGGUUUUCUCCUAGGGGGUUUUUUAGUCCCAGGGAGAGUCAGCCAACUUUGGCUUAACUUAGCACUUUACUGUAUACGUUACAUUAUUAAUAUGCUCGCUUACACGUUUUUUUAUCCUUAGCCGCUAUAUUCUACUUCUUAUACUAUGUAUUGAUUUUCAAUGUUCUCCUCUACAUCUACUCAUGUAAAGCUGCUUUGCAACAAUUAACAAUUGUGAAAAGCGCUAUAUAAAUAAAAUUGAAUUGAAUUGAAUUGAAUUGUUUCUUAUUGAAUUGGUUCACUUUUAUUUCUUGACAGGGCGUAAUAGUUAAAAUGUUCACACCAUUGUAAAUAUACUUGAUUACUUGACCAAGGUAUAAACUGUCAAUCUAUCUGUUUCUCUUUUUAUUGUCUAAUGAAGUUGCAUUUUAAACUGACUGUUGGCUAUUUUUGACAGAUGUCACCUGAGAUCCUGUGGCAGAUCAUGAUGGGAGUAGUCAAGGUUGAUGGCGAUGUGGCUGUCUUGAGGCUUGCACUCAAAUGCUAGAUGUUUAGGGACAUUGUCAGUGAGCCCAAAUUUAAAGAACAGGCUCACUUUUUGUGGCUUGACAGUAAGUUCUUUAAAUCCUUAAUGUGGAGUACUCUAAAAAUUAUUUAAGAAAACUCUUUGUCUGUCUACAUCUUUAUUCUCUGGUAGACUGUAUUGCCUUCAAAACCUUUCAACUUUCAGCUAGAAAAGUACCCUGAACUUAAAAUUGUACUAAGCAUAUCUUUGUCUAGCAUGUGUAAAGUAAUCUCAUUUAAAAUGUUUUCCUUAUAUGACUCUGUUAACAGGAUAUGUUAAUGCCGUUUGUUAUAAUAAUUGAAUAUGGUUUGAUCUGUAUUUUGUCUAAAUUAGUUCAUGAGAACUAGAUUGUGUUCUACAGACAACAGUUUUUGAUGCCCUACUGUCUGACUCAAUGCUUCCACUGUGGAGAAAUCUUCAAAGACUGUCCACCUGGCAAUGUUGGGGAAAAAAUAUUUACAUAAGUUACAUAAUAAUAUACGAGCAUAUAUUUGACAUGACUUUAAUUCUCCUAUUCAUUAAAACUUGUAAGUAUACAAGUACUGUAUAGGUUUUGUCUUUAUUUCACUUGAUAGUACUUGAUGCUAGUAUUGCAUCCCUAAGUUGAUGUUUCGAAUUAAAGUGCAGUUCACCCCACAGAUCUUUCAUAUUAUGAUGCUAAACAGGCUCUUUAAUAAGACUUAGGUCAGAUGAUGAUGGGGGUCACACAUUGUUUGAUUUCUUUCUUGUUUUAAUAAUUAAAAUAGUCAGUGAUGCUUUUUGCAGUAUGGGAUGGUAUAUUAUCCUCCAUGAAAGUAAAUUUAUUUCAGAAGACAUAAUUCCUUCUAUCUCAUAGUAAAAAAACCUAUGUUUUAGGAACUCUACAUAUCUUCUAGAUGUCCAUUUGACCCUCCCCCCCAAUGUCAUGUUUGAACAUAGUGGCUAUUCACCAAUAAUCCAGAAUGACAUUCAUCUAUACUAUUUACUGUAUUUUUGCAUGUCAAUAAAUAAAAUUGUUUAAAAAUA